AUCGUAUCAAUUGGGAGAUAUAUACCCCGUAUGCAGGUGCUGCUGGAAUUUUGCUACUUAGAAAUGGAAAGUUCACAAUUGAAAAGCUGAAAUCAUCUCUUUUGUCGUAAAGUUUUGUUUUCAACCGACCCUCAUUGUCAAUUUCUAGAUGUAAGUCAAGAUAUGAGGCUGACUUAACUGUAUCUGUAGUAUCCUUUAUCUCUAGUUCGACGGGAUAGAUGCGUUUUUACAUAGUCACCAAAUUUUGAAUUAUUUAGUGUAAAUGUUGAAAAAGACCAACAAACUAGUAUACAACAGGGAAAGAGAAACAGGACAAAUAUAACCAUCAAACACUACUAAACAGAAAUAUUGCCUCACAAGUUGUUACUGUUUUAAAAUCCGGUUGUAAGGAGCACGCA
rnacentral:lncRNA from 1 species